AUUGAACGCUGGCGGCAUGCCUAACACAUGCAAGUCGAACGGCAGCACGGGGCCUUGCCCUUGGUUGCGAGUGGGACGGGUGAGGAAAGUCCAUGGAACUACCUCCUGUUGGGGGGUAACGCCCGGCAAAGGCCGCUUAUAUCCCAUAUGCCCUCAGGGAGAGAGCGCGGGGUCCUUGGGGCCCACGCUCUCAGAUGUUGCGAGGGCUGAUUAGCUAGUUGGUGGGGUAAAGGCCUACCAAGGCGACGAUCAGUAGCUGGUCUGAGAGGAUGAUCAGCCACACUGGAACUGAGACACGGCCCAGACUCCUACGGGAGGCAGCAGUGGGGAAUUUUGGACAAUGGGCGAAAGCCUGAUCCAGCAAUGCCGCGUGUGUGAAGAAGGCCUUCGGGUUGUAAAGCACUUUUGUUCGGAAAGAAAGGCUGGGCGCUAAUACCGUCGGGGGAUGACGGUACCGGAAGAAUAAGCACCGGCUAACUACGUG
rnacentral:rRNA from 1 species